AUGGAUCUACACCCCCAGGUGUUGUGCUAGAAUGUUCGUGGGCUGAACAAUCCAGCAAAGCGCAAGGCAGUGAGAGAUUUUGUGUGCUCGGCGAAGUGUAACUUGGUUUGUUUCCAGGAAACCAAGAUGGAUGUAAUGGACCAUUUCAUUGUUAUGCAAUGUCUAGGGCCAUCUUUUGAUGGCUUCGCUUACUUACCGUCCCAAGAGACUAGGGGUGGCAUCUUAUUGGCGUGGGAUAGCCCGGUGCUGACGGUGGACACAUUCCAGUAUAACGCAAAUUUCAUUACAGGUUUGGUGCACACUAAGGUAGGAGACCCUUGGUGGAUUUCGGUGGUUACGGGCCACAAAGUGACGAAGAGAAGAGCCAGUUCUUGCUGGACCUAG
rnacentral:rRNA from 1 species